rnacentral:rRNA from 1 species
GACGAACGCUGGCGGCGUGCUUAACACAUGCAAGUCGAACGGAAAGGCCCUGCUUUUGUGGGGUGCUCGAGUGGCGAACGGGUGAGUAAAACGUGAGUAACCUGCACUUGACUUUGGGAUAAAUUCAGGAAACUGGGGCUAAUACCGGAUAGGAGCUACUGCUGCAUGGUGGGGGUUGGAAAGUUUCGGCGGUUGGGGAUGGAUUCGCGGCUUACGGGCUUGUUGGUGGGGUAGGGGCUUACCAAGGCUUUGACGGGUAGCCGGCCUGGGAGGGUGACCGGCCACAUUGGGCCUGCGGGAGGCCCCAGACGCCUACGGGAGGCAGCGGGGGGGAACAUUGCAGAGUGGGCGGACGCCUGAUGCGGCAGCCCUCCGUGCGGAAUGACGUCCUUCGGGUUGUAAACCGCUUUCGCCUGUGACGAGGCGGGAGUGACGGUAAUGGGUAAAGAAGCACCGGCUAACUACGUG